UAGGGAAUCUUCCGCAAUGGGCGAAAGCUUGACGGAGCAACGCCGCGUGAGUGAUGAAGGUCUUCGGAUCGUAAAACUCUGUUAUUAGGGAAGAACAAAUGUGUAAGUAACUAUGCACGUCUUGACGGUACCUAAUCAGAAAGCCACGGCUAACUACGUGCCAGCAGCCGCGGUAAUACGUAGGUGGCAAGCGUUAUCCGGAAUUAUUGGGCGUAAAGCGCGCGUAGGCGGUUUUUUAAGUCUGAUGUGAAAGCCCACGGCUCAACCGUGGAGGGUCAUUGGAAACUGGAAAACUUGAGUGCAGAAGAGGAAAGUGGAAUUCCAUGUGUAGCGGUGAAAUGCGCAGAGAUAUGGAGGAACACCAGUGGCGAAGGCGACUUUCUGGUCUGUAACUGACGCUGAUGUGCGAAAGCGGGGGGAUCAAACAGG
rnacentral:rRNA from 1 species